ACAAGUGAAGGCUCUUUGCCUUAAAGCUAUGGAGAUUCUAGUUCAAAGAGUCGAUGCUCCUGUCACUGUAAGUUAUUUUUCUCGAUUCAAGCUACAGAUUUUUUUUUAAUCCAUACUACUUGUGUUUGAAGAUUGAGUUUUUGUGAGAACCCAUGUAACUGAGAGCUGGUGAGUUGAGGAAUCUAACGAAAUUUGAAAUUAGAUUUUAGGCAUGACUGUAGCUCAGAACAGUUGUAGUUUAGUUUUGAAAUGUUAUGGUUUUAAAUUAUGGGGUUUUGUGUGGUUUACUUGAUAUGAAUUAUUGAUUCGUAUAUGAAGUUUCCUGAGGUCAAUAAGAAUCUUUGGAAGUAAGUAAGAAAAGAAAGGCAUGCUUGGAAGAUAUGCAUCAGUUUGUAUAUUUCUGUAUCAGAACUGCAAAUGUAUGAAAACUGGUUAAGGUGGCACUUUCCAAAUAUAUCCAAAACUGGUCUUCACAGUUACUGAAAUUCACAUUUUGUUUUACAGUGAAUAACUCGGAUGAUACUCUGUUUUGCUUACAAAUACUGUAUAGUGAUUAUCUGUAGCCACUGACUAACUUUCUUGAUUCUCUUGGUUACAAUUCCCUUACCCUAUAGGAGGGUAAAGUUUCCUCAAGUUUAUAUUCUUGAAGAUCCGGUAAUAAUCAUUGAAGACAAGUUCCAAGUUGUGCUGUGACUUACAGUCAUGUUUACCGAAUGAUAUUUUGGGACUUACCUUAAGUUAGCAUAAUGAUCGAAAUGUUUGUUUUGAUCUAG
rnacentral:lncRNA from 1 species